CGGCCCAGACUCCUACGGGAGGCAGCAGUAGGGAAUCUUCCGCAAUGGACGAAAGUCUGACGGAGCAACGCCGCGUGAGUGAUGAAGGUUUUCGGAUCGUAAAGCUCUGUUGUUAGGGAAGAACAAGUACCGUUCGAAUAGGGCGGUACCUUGACGGUACCUAACCAGAAAGCCACGGCUAACUACGUGCCAGCAGCCGCGGUAAUACGUAGGUGGCAAGCGUUGUCCGGAAUUAUUGGGCGUAAAGGGCUCGCAGGCGGUUUCUUAAGUCUGAUGUGAAAGCCCCCGGCUCAACCGGGGAGGGUCAUUGGAAACUGGGGAACUUGAGUGCAGAAGAGGAGAGUGGAAUUCCACGUGUAGCGGUGAAAUGCGUAGAGAUGUGGAGGAACACCAGUGGCGAAGGCGACUCUCUGGUCUGUAACUGACGCUGAGGAGCGAAAGCGUGGGGAGCGAACAGGAUUAGAUACCCUGGUAGUCCACGCCGUAAACGAUGAGUGCUAAGUGUUAGGGGGUUUCCGCCCCUUAGUGCUGCAGCUAAGCAUUAAGCACUCCGCCUGGGGAGUACGGUCGCAAGACUGAAACUCAAAGGAAUUGACGGGGGCCCGCACAAGCGGUGGAGCAUGUGGUUUAAUUCGAAGCAACGCGAAGAACCUUACCAGGUCUUGACAUCCUCUGACAAUCCUAGAGAUAGGACGUCCCCUUCGGGGGCAGAGUGACAGGUGGUGCAUGGUUGUCGUCAGCUCGUGUCGUGAGAUGUUGGGUUAAGUCCCGCAACGAGCGCAACCC
rnacentral:rRNA from 2 species